CCCUUUCUUUUCCUCCUUCCCAAGUUCGUUUCUCUUUCUUCUUUCUUUUGCACAGAACCUUUCCCCUCUCUCUCUCUCUCUCUCUCUCUCUUCCAUUUUCUCUCUUCUCCUUUAUGUUUUCCAUUAAACCCUAACAUGGCCACCGCCUAUUUCCCCGGCCACCACUUAUUUCGGUUUAUCAACAAACCGUAACAUUGUCGUCAUCCCCCUUUCUCCCCCCAUAGAUUUACGAAAGUUGUGAGAUGGUGAAGUUGCAACAAUGACAAAUCUGUUUCGUUGAUUCUCGCAGUAGUGGAAAACGAUAAGGUUUAUGGUUUGGUUUCUUAUCAUUACAUUUUUUAAGUGUAUUUUUUAUAUAUCUUGAGUUUGUAGUUAAAUUCUUAGAUCUAUUUGAAAACAGUUAUGGUAUUAUGAUUUCAUUUUCGUUUACUUCUCAUUUGUUGUGUUUUUAUUUACUUUUUGUUAGGGGUUUUGAUUUCACAAGAAAGAAGAAGUAAGCAACAAAUUUUUUCAAAGGAUUUACAUGUGGUGACCACAUCUGCUAAUGGGGAGAGAGAAACUGGUGAUUUAAUUGAAAAGUCUAUGGAUAAAGUAUGUGUUCCUGGCUGCUGGAAGGGAUGGUUAUGAUUGAGAGAAAAGAAAUCAUUAUGGGCAUUUAGUAUAGUGACCAACAUCAUCAGUUAUAAUGUCAAACAUGGAUCCUAGCUUUAGCAUAUGUGAAUUUCAAAGAAUUGGUUUCUUAAUGUUCAGUGAGGAUAUUGGCUGCCUUGAUUCUUGGUCUUAGAGGGAAUUUCCCACUUCAUGAACAUAGAUCUACAAUACUCUUGGUUUUAAAACUCGAUGCAACUACUCUUGAUGGAACUAGAUCACACUACAGUUGCAAUAAAAGUGUUAAAACCUGAUGCAGCUCAUUGGAAGCAUAUGAUACACCUUAUUAGAGCUCGAAAUUGUCGCGAAUUUGAAAUUUAUGGUGGUCUUGUAUUUGGUUUGUUCUGCACCUAAAGUUUAGUGGCAUUUAGCUAUGGUGAUGUCAUUUUUUAUAAGUGAAUUAGUCGUGAUAUCAAAAAUCACUUUAUUCCAAUGACACCGAAAGAUUGUUAUGUUAUUUUAAUGACACUAGAGGUUUUGACUUGCAGGAUUUACGGGCAGGUUUUGACACUAGAGAUGGAGCACAGGGAGAAAUAUUAUAAGACCAACUUCUCCCAAGUCUCCUAUUGCAAGUGCCAGAUCCUUUGAAACUGUAAAGGGAUUAAAUGCUGAAGAUGAUUUGAUAGACGGAGUCAAACUGGAUGCUACAUAUUUGUGCACAAAUGGAAAUGCAGGAUCCGCUUUUUUCAAAAUUGUCUUCAAUGAUGCUGCUUACUGGUGGUGGCAACAGUUUCAGAAGCAAGAGAUUUUAGAGGAAUUUCCUGGAGAGAGUAACUGGUGAGUUAAUUGCAAAGUCUAUGGAGAAAGUUGGAAAAGAAGGUGUAAUAACAAUUGUUAUGAAACAAAGCAAUCAAGCAAAGUUUUUUUGAAUUUCUUUAAGGAGAAGCACAUGUUCGCUUCUAAAGGAACGGUUUCUACUCGCUCCGCACGGUGUUCUGCUCUCACCACUUAUGUUGCUAUCUCAUGGUGUUGCUAAUUUACUCUUUCCCGUUUCUUUGGGAUUUUCUCUCAUUGUCAUGUGUGAUGUUGUUGUUGUUAUGAGAAAUCUUGGCUACCAAGCUCAACUAUGUGCUUAAUACACUUCUUGAUCAAUUGUCUGGUGGAGCGACUCCAGUUCUUGAAGAGAGGCUAGAAGAAGACGUUCAACACAUUGAUAUGAUAUAUUAUCAUGAACAAAUAUUUUAACAUAUAAUGUGCAGGUGUGGUAAUAGUUGAAAUCAGUUUGAAGAAUUAUUUUAUUGAUCUUCUAAUGCUACUGGCUGUUGAUUUAAUUAUUUUUUAACAUUAAAAAUAUUGAUUGUAUUUAAUUCCAACACAAGUUGUGUUAAGUUAGACGGUAUAAAUUAUUCAUUGGCAAUAUAUUAUAAAAUAUUUUUUUGAUAGGCUAUAUCGUAAAACAAAUUGUUGAAGAUGAGAUUA